rnacentral:misc_RNA from 1 species
GAUGAAGAACGCAGCGAAAUGCGAUAAGUAAUGUGAAUUGCAGAAUUCAGUGAAUCAUCGAAUCUUUGAACGCACAUUGCGCCCGCCAGUAUUCUGGCGGGCAUGCCUGUCCGAGCGUCAUUUCAACCCUCAAGCCCCAGCCGGCUUGGUGUUGGGGACCGGCCCGGGCCGCCCCCCAAAUGCAGUGGCGACCUCGCCGCAGCCUCCCCUGCGUAGUAGCACAACCUCGCACCGGAGCGCGGAGACGGUCACGCCGUAAAACGCCCAACUUCUCAGAGUUGACCUCGGAUCAGGUAGGAAUACCCGCUGAACUUAAGCAUAUCAAUAAGCGGAGGA